UACGUAGGGUGCGAGCGUUGUCCGGAAUUAUUGGGCGUAAAGGGCUCGUAGGCGGUUUGUCGCGUCGGGAGUGAAAACACCGGGCUUAACUCGGUGCUUGCUUUCGAUACGGGCAGACUAGAGGCAUGCAGGGGAGAACGGAAUUCCUGGUGUAGCGGUGAAAUGCGCAGAUAUCAGGAGGAACACCGGUGGCGAAGGCGGGUCUCUGGGACGGUACUGACGCUGAGACGCGAAAGCGUGGGGAGCGAACAGG
rnacentral:rRNA from 1 species